UUCACAUCAUGAAAAAUACAAAAUGUCCUUUUACAAUUUACUCCAAUUUCAGGUUAAGGAGCCUCUAUAUAUGGAAAAGUGGAAAGGAAGGCGAAAAGUAUCAAUCCUUUUACAUGGGACUGAUUGUAUGUUCUACCUGUAGAUGCUGCUGCAACUGCAACCAGAGAUAUGGGGAAGCAUCUCUAAUGCCUCUUCAUUUUUUG
rnacentral:misc_RNA from 1 species